GUGCUUGCUUCAGCAGCACAUAUACCAAAAUUGAAAUGAUAUGGAGAUUAGCAUGGCCCCUGUGCAAGGAUGAAACACAAAUUCAUCAAGCCUUCCAUAUUUUU